CAGAAACAUGCAGGUAGGAAUUGGGGCUACUGGAGAUCCGGCGGGGAGGAGCGUCCUGAGGAAGCUCUGGAGCGAAACACAAGUGACACUGAACUGCAGAGUCUGGAACGUAAAGAUCAUGCAUUUUGAGAAGCACAGCUGGGUACCAUGUUGCCAAGGUUACAUCAGGAGGGCCACUGCUGCUGUGUUUGUGAUGGUGAAAUCACAACCCACCCAGGAGCCAUAUGGAAACUCUGCCUUGGACGCCCCCGGGGGAAUAGUACGCAGCCGUUAACGGCAACAAGGAGA